UAGGGAAUCUUCCACAAUGGACGCAAGUCUGAUGGAGCAACGCCGCGUGAGUGAAGAAGGUUUUCGGACCGUAAAGCUCUGUUGUUGGUGAAGAAGGAUAGAGGUAGUAACUGGCCUUUAUUUGACGGUAAUCAACCAGAAAGUCACGGCUAACUACGUGCCAGCAGCCGCGGUAAUCGUAGGUGGCAAGCGUUGUCCGGAUUUAUUGGGCGUAAAGCGAGCGCAGGCGGAAGAAUAAGUCUGAUGUGAAAGCCCUCGGCUUAACCGAGGAAUUGCAUCGGAAACUGUUUUCUUGAGUGCAGAAGAGGAGAGCAGAACUCCAUGUGUAGCGGUGGAAUGCGUAGAUAUAUGGAAGAAUACCAGUGGCGGAGGCGGCUCUCUGGUCUGCAACUGACGCUGAGGCUCGAAAGCAUGGGUAGCGAACAGGAUUAGAUACCCUGGUAGUCCAUGCCGUAAACGAUGAGUGCUAAGUGUUGGGAGGCUUCCGCCUCUCAGUGCUGCAGCUAACGCAUUAAGCACUCCGCCUGGGGGAGUACGACCGCAAGGUUGAAAC
rnacentral:rRNA from 1 species